AAAAAAAAAAAUGGGAAAGACAAGUUUACUGUCAUGUCAGGGCGGUUUAAUGGGAAUAGAUUUGAAUGCUGGGGCCAGGGCGAUGACGUCUGGUUCAUAAUAACUGGCAUUUGCCGAGUUGCUCUGGCUUUCGGAUAUUUGGAUGGUGAUUAAAUACACCCGUUUAGGUACUUUUUUAAAAAAAGGUCAUCAGGAGCCGUUAUCUGCAAACUGAUCGCACCUGCAUGUUGGAACGCACUCGAGCCUGCUCCUAGACUUUUAAAAGUUUCAGUUCGUCAUUUUACGGUUUUUUUUAAAAAAUCAUCAUCAUCCGUAUCGUCCCAAGCCGUGGUCGACAAAACUUUUACAAAGGGCUGUUCGGCCCCCCAGAUGUCCUUUUGGAGUUACUUUCUCGCAGUGUAACUUACAAGAUUAAAAUAAAAUUUGGUUGAUGGUUCUGAACAGAUACAGCUCUUUUACUUGAGAAACCAUUUUGAAGACUGAGACCAUGGAGUUUUAUAUCUGAGGAUAAAGGAAAUCUUUGCAGAAGUCUGUAUUUUAUAUAGCAAGUAAGUAAAUGUUUUUACCCACCAUCUGAAAUUUAGUGCCUACCACAAUUUGAGUAGGAAAAUAUCAGUAAAUUUUGUCAAUGAAACAAACAGCAGACUGUUUAUCUUGAAAAGAUGAGAAAAAGCCCCUCAAAUGCCAUUUCUUUAUAUCAAAGCUUUUUUGUAUUAACAUUGAAAUAGUUGACACAUGUAGUUUCUAUCAGAACAGAAAGACAUUAAGUACUUUCCAAU